AAGAUCAUACUUUUAGGGAUCAUUUCUAUAGUGUGCAUCUUGAAAACGUCAUCAAAAUAUGACGAAUCCUCAACUACGAUGAUGAGUUGUAGGGUUUCCUUCUGAGCAUGAAGCUUGGUUUGCUAGAUCACAGAUCUUGCAAACUUUUGAGGAUUGUUCUUGGAUUUCCCUUUGGAAAUUUAGGAGGAAGGAAUCCCCAGCUGAGUAGU
rfam:Ciona savignyi cont_5392, whole genome shotgun sequence.